GACGAACGCUGGCGGCGUGCUUAACACAUGCAAGUCGAACGGAAAGGCCCUGCUUUGGUGGGGUGCUCGAGUGGCGAACGGGUGAGUAACACGUGAGUAACCUGCCCUUGAUUUUGGGAUAACUUCAGGAAACUGGGGCUAAUACCGGAUAGGAGCUCCUGCUGCAUGGUGGGGGGUGGAAAGUUUCGGUGGUUGGGGAUGGACUCGCGGCUGAUCAGCUUGUGGGUGGGGUAGUGGCUUACCAAGGCUUUGACGGGUAGCCGGCCUGAGAGGGUGACCGGCCACAUUGGGACUGAGAUACGGCCCAGAAUCCUACGGGAGGCAGCAGUGGGGAAUAUUGCACAAUGGGCGGAAGCCUGAUGCCGCAACGCCGCGUGCGGGAUGACGGCCUUCGGGUUGUAAACCGCUUUCGCCUGUGACGAAGCGUGAGUGACGGUAAUGGGUAAAGAAGCACCGGCUAACUACGUG
rnacentral:rRNA from 1 species